rnacentral:rRNA from 1 species
GAUGAACGCUGGCGGCGUGCCUAAUACAUGCAAGUCGAGCGAACGGACGAGAAGCUUGCUUCUCUGAUGUUAGCGGCGGACGGGUGAGUAACACGUGGAUAACCUACCUAUAAGACUGGGAUAACUUCGGGAAACCGGAGCUAAUACCGGAUAAUAUUUUGAACCGCAUGGUUCAAAAGUGAAAGACGGUCUUGCUGUCACUUAUAGAUGGAUCCGCGCUGCAUUAGCUAGUUGGUAAGGUAACGGCUUACCAAGGCAACGAUGCAUAGCCGACCUGAGAGACGGAUCGCCCACACUGGAACUGAGACACGUUCCUGACUCCUACGGGAGGCAGCAGUAGGGAAUCUGCCGCAGUGGGCGGAAGCCUGACGGAGCAACGCCGCGUGAGUGAUGAAGGUCUUCGGAUCGUAAAACUCUGUUAUUAGGGAAGAACAGAUGUGUAAGUAACUGUGCACAUCGUGACGGUACCUAAUCAGAAAGCCACGGCUAACUACGUG